GGGGAUUUAGCUCAGUGGUAGAGCGCUUGGCUGGAGAGAUGGCUCAGCGGUUAAGAGCACUGUCUGCUCUUCCAGAGGUCCUGAGUUCAAUUCCCAGCAACCACA
rnacentral:tRNA from 1 species